GAUGAACGCUGGCGGCGUGCCUAAUACAUGCAAGUCGAGCGAACAGACGAGGAGCUUGCUCCUCUGACGUUAGCGGCGGACGGGUGAGUAACACGUGGAUAACCUACCUAUAAGACUGGGAUAACUUCGGGAAACCGGAGCUAAUACCGGAUAAUAUAUUGAACCGCAUGGUUCAAUAGUGAAAGACGGUUUUGCUGUCACUUAUAGAUGGAUCCGCGCCGCAUUAGCUAGUUGGUAAGGUAACGGCUUACCAAGGCAACGAUGCGUAGCCGACCUGAGAGGGUGGUCGGCCACACUGGAACUGAGACACGGUCCAGGGUCCUACGGGAGGCAGCAGUAGGGAAUCUUCCGCAAUGGGCGAAAGCUUGACGGAGCAACGCCGCGUGAGUGAUGAAGGUCUUCGGAUCGUAAAACUCUGUUAUUAGGGAAGAACAAAUGUGUAAGUAACUAUGCACGUCUUGACGGUACCUAAUCAGAAAGCCACGGCUAACUACGUG
rnacentral:rRNA from 1 species